GAUUUUUUUUUUUUUUCAUAUAUGGCAUUGUCAUCUUUGCCGGGAUCGAUGGUUAUUCACGAAAGAUCAUGUACCUGGGUGCUUCUAACAACAACAAGGCAUCAACUGCGCUUGGCUUCUUCAUGAGCUCUGUUGAAAAGUUUGUCUUUCCAUUAAGAGUUAGAGGAGACCAAGGGGUAGAAAACGUUGGCAUCGCUCACUGCAUGUUAACUGUUCAUGGCUGUGGCAGAGCAAGCUACAUAUCUGGAAAAAGUGUGCAUAAUCAAAGGGUGGAGCGCUUGUGGCGUGAUGUGUGGAUGGCGGUAACGUGU